GAUGAACGCUGGCGGCGUGCCUAAUACAUGCAAGUCGAGCGAACGGACGAGAAGCUUGCUUCUCUGAUGUUAGCGGCGGACGGGUGAGUAACACGUGGAUAACCUACCUAUAAGACCGGGAUAACUUCGGGAAACCGGAGCUAAUACCGGAUAAUAUUUUGAACCGCAUGGUUCAAAAGUGAAAGACGGUCUUGCUGUCACUUAUAGAUGGAUCCGCGCUGCAUUAGCUAGUUGGUAAGGUAACGGCUUACCAAGGCAACGAUGCAUAGCCGACCUGAGAGGGUGAUCGGCCACACUGGAACUGAGACACGGUCCAGACUCCUACGGGAGGCAGCAGUAGGGAAUCUUCCGCAAAGGGCGAAAGCCUGACGGAGCAACGCCGCGUGAGUGACGAAGGUCUUCGGAUCGUAAAACUCUGUUAUUAGGGAAGAACAUAUGUGUAAGUAACUGUGCACAUCUUGACGGUACCUAAUCAGAAAGCCACGGCUAACUACGUG
rnacentral:rRNA from 1 species